UACGUAGGGGACAAGCGUUGUCCGGAUUUAUUGGGCGUAAAGAGCGUGUAGGCGGCCAUACAGGUCAGCUGUGAAAACUCGAGGCUCAACCUCGAGACGUCGGUUGAAACCGUAUGGCUAGAGUCCGGAAGAGGAGAGUGGAAUUCCCGGUGUAGCGGUGAAAUGCGCAGAUAUCGGGAGGAACACCGGUGGCGAAGGCGGUUCUCUGGGCCUGUUCUGACGCUGAGGAGCGAAAGCGUGGGGAGCAAACAGG
rnacentral:rRNA from 1 species